CGAGUCACAGUUGCUGAAGUCCUCAGUGUUCAAACACUUGUGAAACGCUGCAUGUCUAGCAAAAUUUUCUUUUUUUAUGGGAAUAUAAAUUUCUGUUGAGGUGCUGAUUUUCAACCUUAAUUCUUCCAUCAAGAAUGAAACUAUUUAAAAAUUAAGAUGCCAACAGGAAGUGAACUGUUGCUGGCUUCUCUUUGUCUUAUUCCAAGUUGGGUCAUGAGAUUUUCCCUGCACCCUGGGAAGGUGCAUUGAAAAUUACACCGGAGCACGCUGCGAAGAGGUUUUUCUCCCAAGCUCCAGCAUCCCAAGCGAAAGUAAUCUGUCGGCAGCUUUCGUGGUGCUGGCGGUCCUCCUCACUCUUACCAUCGCGGCGCUCUGCUUCCUGUGCAGGAAGGGCCACCUUCAGAGGGCCAGUUCAGUCCAGUGUGAGAUCAGCCUGGUAGAGACAAACAAUACCAGAACCCGUCACAGCCACAGAGAACACUGAAGACAUACAUCCCCAGUGAAGGGCAUCAUUACCUACAAAGGCGGACUGUGGACCAUACGACGAGAGAAGUCCCAGGAUCUCACUCUUCUUGAUGCUCUACUGUUUGAUUGUUCAUCGUUCACAUACAGAAAUGACGCUGGUUUCCUGUGUUGACCUUGCACCCUGCUACUAGUCCCUACCAGGAAGCCCCACCUUCCACUUCCUGUCCAGCCACUGGCUGCCAGCCUUUAUUCUACAAAAAGCUACAUUCCGGUCAGCAGCAGGACAACGCCUGAUCCACCCCUUUGGCUCAGAAGAGGGCCACAAAAUCUCCUUUAAGGAGGUUUUUAACAUGAUAAUCUCAGAGACUCUUUUGGGCAGGUCAUCACUGGCCUGGAAGUCAGCAGUAUAGAUAAGGCUGGCCCUGAAUUCAAGAGACUCACCUGUUUUUGCCUACUCAGAGUUACUGGAAUUAAAGGCAUAACAACACUAUACUCUGCUUGAUUCCUCUAAUUUCUUUUUUAAAAACCUAAAAGUAUUGAGGACCUGAAAUCAAAUAUUUCUAUUUACCCACGGGGGAAGAGCAAAGUACUCAGGCUUACUUCUCACAAGUAAGUGAAGACAAAUUGUCCACCUGGCCUCCAGCCAAGAUGAUAUUCAUAUCGCUGAAAGUGCUGACUACCCGAUGCAGGUAAUUACUGGCUCCCACCUUACAGCAGUUAUAGCCAAAGACAAGGACCACACGAAGUUCAGGGUUGUCCAGAAGACCUGCAGAGAAGUGAGGGACAGAGACAGCCUUAAACAGCAUGAACUGUUGCUCCUGUUGACUGGCACUCCCAGUGUGUUCUGCAGUGCUGAAGUGCUCAGUUCUCCGAUUCUUAGAGCCUGAGAUUACUCACUCAAGCCUUAGUUAUGAUUUUUCCAUUAAUAAAACCUAUGGCUAUUUGAAUGUAAUAUGCCUCACAUAAGCAAGGGCAUUUUGCAGAGUGCUAUACACAGACAUGUUGAAGUGAAUAACUGCAGUGCCAGCUCCACAUCUUCAUUCCUCGCACACCAGUGACCUCGAGCUUAUCUUCUCAGAUGUGGUCUUAAAGCAGCUUGCAUCACUGGCAGGCAGCAGAGCUCCGAGAGCCAGUGGCCAUCUCUCCCCAGAGCUUCCACUGAACCUCUGGUACUUUCUUUUCAUUCAUUGAGACCAGUCAGUGUUGAACAGGAUAAUCCCACUUAACUCAGCCACACGACUUCCAAAGCAGCCAGGCCACUCACUAAGCCAGAGUGAAGCAGGCCACAGGGGAAGGAGGCGGCGCCCUGCAGACCAAGAGUCCAGCACAUCAACACCGAACUCCACACACGCCAGAGACCUCCAGUUUUAAUUACCCAAUGUUACCUCGCCCUGCACCCCAGCAGCCAUCCAGAGUCCAGCUAAACUCUAAUGGCAGAGCACCUGUAGAGACGACAUGUGGCCCUCCUCUGCAGAGCCCACUUUCUGAGUGUCUCUCAACCCUGUGCGGAAACUGGUAUUGAAAACCUCCUUUUAAUAAACUCCGACUCUACUUUGCACUAGCUCA